AUUGAACGCUGGCGGCAGGCCUAACACAUGCAAGUCGGACGGUAGCACAGAGAGCUUGCUCUCGGGUGACGAGUGGCGGACGGGUGAGUAAUGUCUGGGGAUCUGCCCGAUAGAGGGGGAUAACCACUGGAAACGGUGGCUAAUACCGCAUAACGUCGCAAGACCAAAGAGGGGGACCUUCGGGCCUCUCACUAUCGGAUGAACCCAGAUGGGAUUAGCUAGUAGGCGGGGUAAUGGCCCACCUAGGCGACGAUCCCUAGCUGGUCUGAGAGGAUGACCAGCCACACUGGAACUGAGACACGGUCCAGACUCCUACGGGAGGCAGCAGUGGGGAAUAUUGCACAAUGGGCGCAAGCCUGAUGCAGCCAUGCCGCGUGUAUGAAGAAGGCCUUCGGGUUGUAAAGUACUUUCAGCGGGGAGGAAGGCGGUGCGGUUAAUAACCGUGCCGAUUGACGUUACCCGCAGAAGAAGCACCGGCUAACUCCGUGCCAGCCGCCGCUGUAA
rnacentral:rRNA from 1 species